GACGAAUACAGGAUGUCCUACUUCGGUAUCUUAAUGAACGCAUGCGCAACGUUCGUAGCGCUUGAACUUCAAGUUUCAACGGAAGAAGACUGAAACUGCACGGCUGCCAUUUGUACUUCAGAUUUAAUGGUAAAAGAGGGAGGAGCCACAGUGAGCUGAUGAAGAGGCAACAGGUGCUUACUUUAGUUUUGGUGAACUCAAACCUGCAACUUGUCAUCCAGGCAGUGCAGCGCCAUCCAGCCGUGAAGCCAUUUGGCUGUGAGGAGGAGGAGUGGGCCAGCUGAAGGCCCACAUCUGAUUAGUGUCUAUUAAAGAUCAGAGGGGUGAGGAGGAAGUGCCCUGCUGAUCUGGGUGCUGAGUGCUGUGUUAUCUUUGGAUGAGUUUGGCCGCCCCGCUGGCACGCCACAGUACCUUAUUACUGUGUUACUGAGUAUAUUAGAGCGCCCUCAGAACAGCUUGGAUUUCCAGGCCAGAGGUGGAGGAUGAGUGAACACAAGGGCUCACAAGAUAACAACGGUGCUUCUUGGUGGAAAAGCACCCGAGUCAAGUUUGAAUUGUGUGUGCCUGUGCAAGCCAGCAUUGUGGCGAGAAGACGUCUCGGCGAAGGUGUGCUUUAACAGGUGCCACGGCCAGACAAACUGGGUAAAUGUUGAGAUUCCUCCGAGCACAGCAGCACGCAAAAUGAAACCCAACUGUUCCUGAUGCAGCUCUGCAGACGUGACUGGCGCCGGCGGGUAGCUUAGCUCUGUCUCUCCCCAUCACUCUGCCUGCCUAAUUGUUUUUUGUGUUUGGUAAACGUUUCCAGCCGAUCCAAACUCGCACAGGCUCCGUCUACUGUAGGAAUACUGUCUGGCUUAAUGCUGUCAGCACUUCUUGAUAUCCACAGUGUGAACAUACAACAUGGUCUGCACUGACGAAGGCGCUCGAUGGAAGUAGUCAUGUGAUAUAUUAUCUGUUACUCCAUAGUGGCGCUGCAUUGCAAAGUAAAACUAGAAUUACACAAGUCUGUACAGCACUCUCCACACAUCCCCAAAAGGUCAGCCUUUCAGGAAUCAAAACAUAUCUUUGACUGACGGCGUGUCAGCAACACUUUCCAUCGUCGUUUGAAUGUUUUGAGAAUAACGAAAGUUCAUUUUGAGUCACAAGCUGCAGAUAGUCGAGUUCAUUCUGACGCUCAUUUUGUCAAACUCUAAAAUGUCUUAAUUGGUUUUGACAGCAAAGUAUAA